GGGAUCUGACCACAGUAGGAGUCUCACUGACCACGGUGCAGUUUGACUUCAACAGGACUGUCACGAAGGGAGCCCCAAUAUUCUUUUGAACUUGGGCAGCCAAGUGCUUCAGCUCGACUUCUCUAAGAUGAUCAUAUGAAUUUCAGUGCCCAGGUGGGAAUUGGCCUGGUAAAGGGUGGACCUCUUCAGUUGACUGAAGGCCUGAAGAAGACAAAAGACUAACUGU